rnacentral:lncRNA from 10 species
UAAAAGUUGAUACAGUAUGGAGGAAAGGUGUGACCCUUUCUGCAGAUGUGAGAGUUCCCUAAAUGAUUCUCUGGGAUCAUGGGGGUUGUGAGGGAGUCAGACAAGAACAUCAAUGGGUUUGAGGUGUUAAAUUCUUCAAGCUCUCCCAUUGCCUGAGUAUCAUAGUCACAUUUGUACCUUGGAAGUCUCCCUUUGGGAUCAGCAUGUAGGAUGGAUUUAAGCGAAUUGGACUGGAGGGCCUCCAGCCAUUGUAGAAGUACAGGCUUUUCAACUUCCAUGUCAGGAA